CCUACGGGGAGGCAGCAGUGGGGAAUAUUGCACAAUGGGGGAAACCCUGAUGCAGCCAUGCCGCGUGUGUGAAGAAGGCCUUCGGGUUGUAAAGCACUUUCAGUAGGGAGGAAGGUAGUGUAGUUAACACCUGCAUUAUUUGACGUUACCUACAGAAGAAGCACCGGCUAACUCCGUGCCAGCAGCCGCGGUAAUACGGAGGGUGCGAGCGUUAAUCGGAAUUACUGGGCGUAAAGCGCAUGCAGGCGGCCUGUUAAGUCAGAUGUGAAAGCCCGGGGCUUAACCUCGGAAUUGCAUUUGAAACUGGCAGGCUAGAGUCUUGUAGAGGGGGGUAGGAAUUUCAGGUGUAGCGGUGAAAUGCGUAGAGAUCUGAAGGAAUACCAGUGGCGAAGGCGGCCCCCUGGACAAAGACUGACGCUCAGAUGCGAAAGCGUGGGGAGCAAACAGGAUUAGAUACCCUGGUAG
rnacentral:rRNA from 1 species